UGCCAGCCGCCGCGGUAAUACGGAGGGUGCAAGCGUUAAUCGGAAUUACUGGGCGUAAAGCGCUCGUAGGCGGUUGAUUAAGUCGGAUGUGAAAGCCCAGGGCUUAACCUUGGAACUGCAUUCGAUACUGGUCAGCUAGAGUACAGUAGAGGCAAGUGGAAUUUCCUGUGUAGCGGUGAAAUGCGUAGAGAUCUGAAGGAACAUCAGUGGCGAAGGCGACACUCUGGGUUGAUACUGACGCUGAGGUGCGAAAGCGUGGGGAGCAAACAGGAUUAGAUA
rnacentral:rRNA from 1 species